rnacentral:rRNA from 1 species
AGAGCGAACGCUGGCGGCAGGCCUAACACAUGCAAGUCGAACGGACUCUUCGGAGUUAGUGGCGGACGGGUGAGUAACACGUGGGAACGUGCCUUUAGGCUCGGAAUAGCUCCUGGAAACGGGUGGUAAUGCCGAAUGUGCCCUUCGGGGGAAAGAUUUAUCGCCUUUAGAGCGGCCCGCGUCUGAUUAGCUAGUUGGUGAGGUAAAGGCUCACCAAGGCUACGAUCAGUAGCUGGUCUGAGAGGAUGACCAGCCACAUUGGGACUGAGACACGGCCCAAACUCCUACGGGAGGCAGCAGUGGGGAAUCUUGCGCAAUGGGCGAAAGCCUGACGCAGCCAUGCCGCGUGAAUGAUGAAGGUCUUAGGAUUGUAAAAUUCUUUCAGUAGGGACGAUAAUGACGUACCUACAAGAAGAAGCCCGGACUAACUUCGUAGCCAGCAGCCGAC